UCCUACUCUGCAUAGCACUCACCACCUCCCUCAUCGCCACGUCAGCAUCAUCCCUAUUCCUUAACAAAAUCUCCCCAACCUGUGCUGGCGUGAGGGACCCACCAUUCCUAAUACACCCUUCAACAUUCUCAAACAUCACGUGCGAUUCUACUCCAAGGUAGUUUCUAACUAACUCCUUAAACGCAUGGACCCCGCACGUGCCGAGACUCACGUGAACAUCCAUGCGCCCGCACCGCACUAGAGCGGGGUCCACGCUAUCACGAUGGUUAGUUGUAAACACAACUAACCUCUCCUCUCCGCAACAAGACCAUAGCCCAUCAGUGAAAUUUAAAAGCCCUGAAAGUGUGACACGUCCACUUUCUUUAUCUGAAUAUCCAAACGAUGUCGUUUUCGAUUUCCCGCUUUUCCAUUUUGGAUAAGUUGUUGUUAUUGCAUUUGCAUUCGACUUUUUUAACAUCCUAUCGGCCGUUAGAUCAAGCGAGCAAUCAAUGUCCUCGAUCACAAUGAUGGAACGGUUUGUCGUUUGUAUCAAAAGAGAUCUUAGUUCUGAAUUAUCAGAAACUUUAGUGAGUUCUAAAUCGUACACGUCAUAGCAUAGAAAAUUUGCUAUAGCAGCAAUUAAGCUUGAUUUGCCAGACCCGGGUGGGCCAUGGAGCAAGUAACCCCGUUUCCAAGCCCGGCCCACACGGUGAUAAAAAUCCUUGCCGUUUGAAAACGCCGUGAGAUCUUCUUUGAUUUGCUUCUUAAGUUCAGGCUCUAGCGCCAGCGUGUCAAACGUCGAAGGAUGACGAAACGGAACGGAAACCCAACCUGAUUCGAAUGACCCCGACCCGUUGUUGUUGGUGAAGAGUCUUCGUUCACGUGACACGCGCUCGAACUCCUCAGCGCGUGAGGUGACGUGCGCCAGGUAGGGUGAUAGCAGCGAGUGGCGGUGGCGUUUAGGGAGGCGGAGCGUGAAGCUGCGCUUCUCGUCGAGGGAGUCUUGAACAGUAUCGACUUGAUGAGUCCACGCUAGGCGGUGGCCGUUGAAGUUGUCGUGAACGGUGUGGUUUGGAGCGACGGCGAAGGAGAUGCGGUUGGAGGAAGGUGAACGGGAGAGAGUGACACGGCGGCAUGCGGCGGCGGGGGAGUGGUUAACGGCGUUGAGGUAAAUAUGGACAUGGCGGUAGAGAUCGUUGAGAUCAACGCCGCAGUAACCG